AAACCCCUCCCAAGUCUAGGGAACCUCCCUAUCACGAGAAGAAAGCCCCGGAGCGCCCGACGGCUCCGAGAAGAAAAGCUUUCGGCUCGGAAACGCUGCUCCAGCGAAGCCCGGUUUUUAAUAAAAACCCGCUGUAAGUGAGCUACGCCUAUACUAUAUUUAAUAUAGAUUUUAUUUAAUUAUAGUAACAUUGUUAGGACCUUAAAAUAAUUAUUUAGGCUAUUAUUAUGAGUUAUAUUGAGUGUUAUUUAACGCUUAUAUAAUAGUAAUAAUAGCUAGACUAUUAAAUUAGUCUCGUCAAGCGUUAGACUAAACUCUAGUGGUAAUGAUACUAGGUUUCGUCAAGGGAUAAUUGUUUUAAGAGUAACGAAGUGCUGUCCGAGUGCCGACUCACCACCUUUCAGGUGAGUGCAUAGUUACUUUCAUCUUACACAUAGAUAUGAAGUAUUUUAUAUAAAUUACAUGCUAAGUGUGCAUAUUAUUUGAGUACUUGUUGUCUAUGCUGGAUGAACGUUUUUAUGCAUGUUUUAAAGGAUUUAAACUGUAUAUGUAUUUUAUAUAUACGAAUAUGUUGGGUAUGACAUGGGUGGAUGAACGAUGAGAGAUAAAAGAUGAUGUGAGUAAACAUUGGCAUCUAUGGACUUACUUCCUAAUAAACAUCGGCAGUUAUGGACUUAGUGCCUACUGGACAAACACUAGUAGCUAUGGAUUUAGUACCUGUUGGGAAUUGGUAGCUAUGGACUUAGUACCUAUUAGUUAAACACUGGUAGCUAUGGAUUUAGUACCCGAUGAAUAGACUAUAGCAGCUAUGGAAUUAGUGCUUUACGAACGAACAUUGGCCGCUAUGGACUUAGUGCCAGUCCUAUAACCUUGGAAGUAAGGGACAACGGAAUAAACGAAUGCAGGAUAGAUAACUCUUAGGUUAAAUCCUUAAGAGUAAAGAAGAUAAUGGGGAUGGGUAAUUGGGUUGAUUGUUUGAUUGUUUAAACAUAAUAAUUAUAAUAUUGUGGGUUGAAAACCCUAUGUACUCACCAGGUUUCCCAACCUGACCCACUCAGUUUAUUUAUAUCACAGGUGUUGAUACGAAGUCACAUUACACUGAGAGAUUAAAGAGAUGUAGAUCACUAGUGUAAAUAAAUGUAAGUUCCGUUUAUGCUUAUGUUUCUGUAUUGACGAUGACAUCCCAAACAUUUUAAAAUGAAUAAAAUACGUUUCUUUGAAAAUGUUUUGAUAACGUAUUUAUCGUGUUUUUCUGGGAACAAAUUCCGCAACAUUUUUAUGAAAUGAAGUACUCUGAUUUUUAUAAAGCAUAAACAAAAUCGGUCUUUUCUGGCCGUGAAAAUUGGGGAUGUCACAGUUGGUAUCAGAGCAUUAGUUUAAGCGAACUAGGAAUAUGGAUUUAUUUCUAGACUUAAACUUAGAAUGCUAAGCGAUGAUCGUGAGGAGUGUGUCUAAUAUAUUUUAGGAAGUACACCUGAAUAGACACAAGCACUAGCUUAAUUAGGAAAGACGCCUAAAAUGCUUUUAUGUGAUAAAUGAUUUGGGAAGCUUUAUGCUAUCGGUUGAUCGGAUCUAUGGUCUGUUGCCGACCGGAUCUGGAAAUUUUAUGUGUUCAGAUUUCUAAACGUUUAAUUACGAUAUUAGAACUGGCAUAUAAUUUUUCGAGGUAAUAAGGAGGGAUACGCGUCUAAAUCUUCCUUUAUCUUUAUUCUCGUCUCGAUACACCAAACGAAUGCUCUGGUGUGCAGAACAUCAUGGUGAAGACUGGUAGUGAAUUGAGUAAAUGAGGAAAUGAGAAGGCUUACGAUAGUGAAUGAUACCUAUCGGAAGAUAUCAUAAGAGUGAUAUCUUGCCUUUAGAAUGCGUCUAAUAAAUAAUACGUCUAGUAUAGGAGAAGUACAUGUUCGAUUAGCAGAAAGAAAGAUUUUUGGUAUGAUCCAUGAAGUUAUCCCAUCAUCUGACAUUUCCAUCACCAACUGAGUUGAAGCAGAAUUGAUGAUUGAAGAUACACGUGGAAGAAGUCCUAGUACAGUCUAGGGAAAAUUAUAUGAUUGUUUGGACACGUUUGUGUUAAAAUUGUUUUUGUGAUAAUAACUUGGAGAACUGUGAGACAAUACUUGAGACGAGUAUGAGUAGGUGUGAAUGGUAGUAGAGGCCUAUACUACAGGAAGCACAAGACUCACGCUUGGAUCAGGGAAAGUGAGAAGGUUACCAAGAAACUAGUAAUCGAUUUCGUUUUAUUCAACUAUGUCGUUACCAUCGUUUCGGUAAUGACUAAGAAGAUGAUUGUUAUUUCGACCCUAGUGGUCAUAUCAAAUUGAGUCCGACUACGAUGAGUAUGUUACGUGGUUCAGAGAACCAAGUUCGAUGUAGCAUCUGACUUAAGCCGAAAGAUUGAAAUAAAAGAUAAUCAAAGCGAUCAGCAGAGGUAUCGCGAUAGUUGCUUGUUGCUAGAAAUGCUACCUUUUAAGAUGUGAUUAUAUCCCAUUUGAACAUGAAGGAAGGUAGUCUGUUCUGGGAUUUGACUCUAAGAGACCUGAGUCUAAGCGUUGCAACAUACGAUGAUAGGUCAUUAGAAUAUGACACAUCAGUCCAUUAUAGUAAUAAAAGAACUUAUCUUAAGUUCGUAUCCAGUGAGGAUUGAGAUUGUGACACGAAGGUCAUGUUUGAAAGUCUAACGAGCAGGUGCAAGACCGAGCACCGCCUGCAGUCAAGGAGUCCAAGAGUUAGAUACUCGUUCGAAGCAACAUAGAAGUUACAGUUAUUACCUAUGAUAAAGAGAUAACGUAUGGAGUCAUUAUACAAUCCUGUUUCGUUGAUGAUUCCAGGACGUAAUCAUCCUAAGGGGGAGAUAAUUGUAACGCCCGUAGAUCCGGGCUAGUCAAUUUAGAGGAAAUAGGGUCGAAAACUACUUUUGGAAAAAAGAUUAUUAAGAAUAAAUAAUCUCAACCAAGUUUUAGUAUAUGUUACAAGGUUUCCGUACAUAUAAAGAGCGUCGAAAUCCGAGUUAUAACAAAGCAGUUAUGACCCGUCGAAGUUUCGCGACGGAACCGAUACGAUACCGGGAGGCGUAAAUAGUGAAUUUACGAUAGAGCGAGAUUUAGCCUUAGCGAUCUAAAAGAAAGUCGUAUUUUAUGUUAAAUCGAUAGUGUGCAUAAAAAGAACAUCCAAAUCUGACUUUGUAUGAGGAAGUUGUGAUGUUUCUUAGAUUUAGCAUAGAAGUGCACAACUCGAAAUCUGAAUUUUAGAUCGGUCGAUUUUUAGCCAAAAAUCUAAACGAUAAAUGAAGAUAUUGUUAAUAGGAGUUAAACGAUAAAAAGACGGUCGAAAACGGAGCUCGUAUGAGAAAGAUAUGGACGAAGCUUAGUCCUUACUCUUCGAGCGUUGCGAAUUCGAUACUAUUUUGUAAAUCCGAGAUAGAAUGAGAAUUAGCCAACGAUGUCUAAAUGAAAGUUGAAGAUCUCGUUAAUAGGAACUCAAUGGUAAAAAGACCGACAAAAACAGAGCUCGUAUGCAAAAUUUACGGACGAAGCUUGGAGACUACUUUACUAUACAAUUCCUAUAAAUAAGAUAUCAACUCUUCAUAACUUCCUCACACCUUCAAACCUUUCUUUCUCUCUAUAACUUCUCUCUAACCUCCCUAAACCCCUCCCAAGUCUAGGGAACCUCCCUAUCAUGAGAAGAAAGCCCCGGAGCGCCCGACGGCUCCGAGAAGAAAAGCUUUCGGCUCGGAAACGCUGCUCCAGCGAAGCCCGGUUUUUAAUAAAAACCCGCUAUAAGUGAGCUAUGCCUAUACUAUAUUUAAUAUAGAUUUUAUUUAAUUAUAGUAACAUUAUUAGGACCUUAAAAUAAUUAUUUGGGCUAUUAUUAUGAGUUAUAUUGAGUGUUAUUUAACGCUUAUAUAAUAGUAAUAAUAGCUAGACUAUUAAAUUAGUCUCGUCAAGCGUUAGACUAUACUCUAGUGGUAAUGAUACUAGGUUUCGUCAAGGGAUAAUUCUUUUAAGUGUAACGAAGUGCUGUCCGAGUGCCGACUCACCACCUUUCAGGUGAGUGCAUAGUUACUUUCAUCUUACACAUAGAUAUGAAGUAUUUUAUAUAAAUUACGUGCUAAGUGUGCAUAUUAUUUGAGUACUUGCUGUCUAUGUUGGAAGAACGUUUUUAUGCAUGUUUUAAGGGAUUUAAACUAUAUACGUAUUUUAUAUACACGAAUAUGUUGAGUAUGACAUGGGUAGAUGAACGAUGAGAGAUAAAAGAUGAUGUGAGUAAACACUGGUAGCUAUGGACUUAGUGCCUAAUAAACAUCGGCAGUUAUGGACUUAGUUCCUACUGGACAAACACCAGUAGCUAUGGAUUUAGUACCUGUUGGGAAUUGGUAGCUAUGGACUUAGUGCCUAAUAAACAUCGGCAGUUAUGGACUUAGUUCCUACUGGACAAACACCAGUAGCUAUGGAUUUAGUACCUGUUGGGAAUUGGUAGCUAUGGACUUAGUGCCAGUCCUAUAACCCUAGAUGUAAGGGACUUCGAAAUAAACGAAUGCAUGAUAGAUGACUCUUAGGUUAAAUCCUUAAGAGUAAAGAAGAUAUUGGGGAUGGGUAAUUGGGUUGAUUAUUUGAUUGUUUAAACAUAAUAAUUAUAAUAUUGUGGGUUGAAAACCCUAUGUACUCACCAGGUUUCCCAACCUGACCCACUCAGUUUAUUUAUAUCACAGGUAUUGAUACGAAUUCACAUUACACUAAGAGAUUAGACAGAUGUAGAUCACUAGUGUAAAUAAAUGUAAGUUCCAUUUAUGCUUAUGUUUCUGUAUUGACGAUGACAUCCCAAACAUUUUAAAAUGAAUAAAAUACGUUUCUUAGAAAAUGUUUUGAUAAUGUAUUUAUCAUUUUUUUCUGGGAACAAAUUCCGCAACAUUUUUAUGAAAUGAAGUACUCUGAUUUUUAUAAAGCAUAAACAAAAUCGGUCUUUUCUGGCCGUGAAAAUUGGGGAUGUCAUAGUUGGUAUCAGAGUAUUAGUUUAAGCGAACUAGGAAUAAUGAUUUAUUUCUAAACUUAAACUUAGAAUGCUAAGCGAUGAUCGUGAGGAGUAUGUCUAAUAUAUUUUAGGAAGUACACCUGAAUAGACACAAGCACUAGCUUAAUUAUGAAAGAUGCCUAAAAUGCAUUUAUGUGCUAAAUGAUUUGGGAAGCUUUAUGCUAUCGUUUGAUCGGAUCUAUGGUCUGUUGCCGACCGGAUCUGGAAAUUUUAUGUGUUCAGAUUUCUAAACGUUUAAUUAUGAUAUUAGAACUGGCAUAUAUUUUUUUCGAGGUAAUAAGGAGGGAUACGCUUAUAAAUCUUCCUUUAUCUUUAUUCUCGUCUCGAUACACCAAACGACUGCUCUGGUGUGCAGAACAUCAUCGUGAAGACUGGUUGUGAAUUGAGUAAAUGAGGAAAUGAGAAGGCUUACGAUAGAGAAUGAUACCUUUCGGAAGAUAUCGUAAGAGUGAUAUCUUGCCUUUAGAAUGUGUCUAAUAAAUAAUACGUCUAGUAUGGGAGAAGUACAUGUUCGAUUAGUAGAAAGAAAGAUUUUUGGUAAAAUCCAUGAAGUUAUCCCAUCGUCUGACAUUUCCAUCACCAACCGAGUUGAAGCAGAAUUGAUGAUUGAAGAUACACGUGGAAGAAAUCCUAGUAGAGUCUAGGGAGAAUUAUAUGAUUGUUUGGACACAUUUGUGUUAAAAUUGUUUUUGUGAUAAUAACUUAGAGAACUGUGAGGCAAUACUUGAGGCGAGUAUGAGUAGGUGUGAAUGGUAGUAGAGGCCUAUACUACCGGAAGCACAAGACUCACGCUUGGAUCAGGGAAAGUGACAAGGUUACCAAGAAACUAGUAAUCGAUUUCGUUUUAUUCAAGUAUGUCGUUACCAUCGUUUCGAUAAUGACUAAGAAGAUGAUUGUUAUUCCGACCCUAGUGAUCAUAUCAAAUUGAGUCCGACUACGAUGAGUAUGUUACGUGGUUCAGAGAACCAAGUUCGAUGUGGCAUCUGACUUAAGCCGAAAGAUUGAAAUAAAAGAUAAUCAAAGCGAUCAGCAGAGGUAUCAUGAUAGUAUCUUGUAGUUAGAAAUGCUACCUUCUAAGAUGUGAUUAUAUCCCAUUUGAACAUGAAGGAAGGUAGUCUGUUCUGGGAUUUGACUCUAAGAGACCUGAGUCUAAGCAUUGCAACAUACGAUGAUAGGUCAUUAGAAUAUGACACAUCAGUCCAUUAUAGUAAUAAAAGAACUUAUCUUAAGUUCGUAUCCAGUGAGGAUUGAGAUUGUUACACGAAGGUCAUGAUUGAAGGUAUAACGAGCAGGUGCAAGACCGAGCACCGCCUGCAGUCAAGGAGUCCAAGAGUUAGAUACUCGAUCGUUCGAAGCAACAUAGAAGUUACAGUUAUUACCUAGGUUGAAGAGAUAAUGUAUGGAGUCAUUAUACAAUCCUGUUUCAUUGAUGAUUCUGGUACGUAAUCAUCCUAAAGGGGAGAUAAUUGUAACGCCCGUAGAUUUGGGCUAGUCAAUUUAGAGACAAUAAGCAUAAAAAACAUGAGUUUUUUGUGGAAGAUUAUUUAGAAGUAGUAAUCUUAACCAAGUUUUAGUAUAUGUUACNUAGUAUAUGUUACAAGGUUUCCGUACAUAUAAAGAGCGUCGAAAUCCGAGUUAUAACAAAGCAGUUAUGACUCGUCGAAGUUUCGCGACGAAACCAACACGAUACCGGGAGGCGUAAAUAGUGAAUUUUCGAUAGAGCGAGAUUUAGCCUUAGCGAUCUAAAUGAAAGUCGUAGUUUAUGUUAAACCAAUAGUGUGCAUAAAAAGAACAUCCAAAUCUGACUUCGUAUGAGGAUGUUGUGAUUUUUCUAAGAUUUAGCAUAGAAGUGCACAACCCGAAAUCUGAAUUUUAGAUCGGUUGAUUUUUAGCCAAAAUAAUCUAAGCGAUAAAUGAAGAUAUCGUUAAUAGGAGUUAAACGAUAAAAAUACAGUAAAAAACGGAGCUCGUAUGAGAAAGAUAUGGACGAAGCUUAGUCCCUACUCUUCGAGCGUUGCGAAUUCGAUACAGUUUUGUAAAUCUGAGAUAGAAGGAGAAUUAGCCAACGAGGUCUAAAUGAGAGUUGAAGAUCUCAUUAAUAGGAGCUCAAUGGUAAAAAGACAGACAAAAACGGAGCUCGUAUGCAAAAUUUAUGGACGAAGCUUAGUCUCUACUUUUCGAGCCUGACGAAUUCGAUACAAUUUUGUAAAUCCGAGAUAGAAUGAGAAUUAGCCAAUGAGGUCUCAAUGAAUGUUGAAGAUACCAUUAAUAGGAACUCAACGGUAAAAAUACAGACAAAACCGGAGCUCGUAUGCAAAAGUUACGGAUGAAGCUUGGAGACUACUUUACUAUACAAUUCCUAUAAAUAAGAGAUCAACUCUUCAUAAUUUCCUCACACCUUCAAACCUUUCUUUCUCUCUCUAACUUCUCUCUAAUCUCCCUAAACCCCUCCCAAUUCUAGGGAACCUCCCUAUCACGAGAAGAAAGCCCGGGAGCGCCCGACGGCUCCGAGAAGAAAAGCUUUCGGCUCGGAAACGCUGCUCCAGCGAAGCCCGGUUUUUAAUAAAAACCCGCUGUAAGUGAGCUACGCCUAUAGUAUAUUUAAUAUAGAUUUUAUUUAAUUAUAGUAACAUUGUUAGGACCUUAAAAUAAUUAUUUAGGCUAUUAUUAUGAGUUAUAUUGAGUGUUAUUUAACGCUUAUAUAAUAGUAAUAAUAGCUAGACUAUUAAAUUAGUCUCGUCAAGCGUUAGACUAAACUCUAGUGGUAAUGAUACUAGGUUUCGUCAAGGGAUAAUUGUUUUAAGAGUAACGAAGUGCUGUCCGAGUGCCGACUCACCACCUUUCAGGUGAGUGCAUAGUCCCUUUCAUCUUACACAUAGAUAUGAAGUAUUUUAUAUAAACUACGUGCUAUGUGUGCACAUUAUCUGAAUACUUGCUGUCUAUGCUGGUUGAACGUUUUAUACAUGUUUUAAAGGACUUAAACUGUAUACGUAUUUUAUAUAUACGAAAAUGUUGGGUAUGAGAUGGGUAGAUGAAUGAUGAGAGAUAGAAGAUGACGUGAGUAUACAUUGGCAGCUAUAGACUUAGUGCCUAUGGGACAAACACCGGUAGCUAUGGACUUAGUACCUUUUAGACGUUGGUAGCUAUGGAUUUAGUACCUGUUGGGAAUUGGUAGCUAUGGACUUAGUACCUAUUAGUUAGACGCUGGUAGCUAAGGAUUUAGUACCUGUAGGAAUUGGUAGCUAUGGACUUAGUACCUGUUGAACAUUGGUAGCUAUGGACUUAGUACCUAUUAGAUAAAGACUGGUAGCUAUGGAUUUAGUACCCGAUGAAUAGACUAUAGCAGCUAUGGAAUUAGUGCUUUAUGAACGAACAUUGGCAGCUAUGGAUUUAGUGCCAGUCCCAUAACCCUGGAAGUAAGGGACUUGGGAAUAAACGAAUGCAGGAUAGAUGACUCUUAGGUUAAAUCCUUAAGAGUAAAGAAGAUAAUGGGGAUGGUUAAUUGGGUUGAUUAUUUGAUUGUUUAAACAUGAUAAUUAUAAUAUAGUGGGUGGAAAACCCUAUGUACUCACCAGGUUUCCCAACCUGACCCACUCAGUUUAUAUAUAUCACAUGUGACGAAGUGAAGUGACAUUACACUGAGAGAUUUAAAAGAGAUGUAGAUCACUAGUGUAAAUCAUUGUAAGUUCUGUUUAUGCUUAUGUUUCGGUAUUAACGAUGACAUCCCAAACAUUUUAAAAUGAAAUAAAUACGUUUCUUCGAAAAUGUUUUAAUAACGUAUUUACCAUGUUUU
rnacentral:lncRNA from 1 species